rnacentral:rRNA from 1 species
CUACGGGUUGCAGCAGUGAGGAAUAUUGCACAAUGGGGGGAACCCUGAUGCAGCAGCGCCGCGUGGAGGAUGACGCAUUUCGGUGUGUAAACUCCUUUUAUAUGUCAAGAAAAUGACGGUAGCAUAUGAAUAAGCACCGGCUAACUCCGUGCCAGCAGCCGCGGUAAUACGGAGGGUGCAAGCGUUACUCGGAAUCACUGGGCGUAAAGGACGCGUAGGCGGGUUGGAAAGUCAGGUGUGAAAUCCUACAGCUUAACUGUAGAACUGCACUUGAAACUUCUAAUCUAGAGUAUGGGAGGGGGGGAUGGAAUUAGUGGUGUAGGGGUAAAAUCCGUAGAGAUCACUAGGAAUACCUAAAGCGAAGGCGAUCUCCUGGAACAUUACUGACGCUAAGGCGUGAAAGCGUGGGGAGCAAACAGGAUUAGAUACCCGGGUAGUC